rnacentral:rRNA from 1 species
UACGAAGGGGGCUAGCGUUGCUCGGAAUCACUGGGCGUAAAGCGCACGUAGGCGGCUUCUUAAGUCAGGGGUGAAAUCCUGGAGCUCAACUCCAGAACUGCCUUUGAUACUGGGAGGCUCGAGUCCGGGAGAGGUGAGUGGAACUGCGAGUGUAGAGGUGAAAUUCGUAGAUAUUCGCAAGAACACCAGUGGCGAAGGCGGCUCACUGGACCAUAACUGACGCUGAUGCACGAAAGCUAGGGGGAGCAAACAGG